ACUAAUUUCAGUCCAAGACAUUGGCCCAUCUCUCAUUUCUCUUGGUCCAUAAAAAUUUCAAGCCACUAAGAAUUUGACGAAAAAUAUAUGCUCUUGUCAUUAAAAAAGAAAAUUACAGAAAUUGACCAAAAGUAUACCAGUACGGGAGCAAAAAGAAGACACAAAAAACAUUAAUUUUACAAGCAUGUCUCAAAGUACACUAUGCUACUCUACAGCCAGUAACGCCCAAAUCAAUCGAGGCCAGCUCUCGUCAAACAUCGACUAGGGGUCAUCCCAUGUUUCUGCACACCAAAGUCAUCAGCAUGCACAUCUUUGUUGUUGAAAAUGCUCCCAAAAACCAAUAUCUGCCACAUGAUGAAAAUUAUGUCACAUUAUAAAAUAUUAUAGCAAGUAGGUAAAACUAGAAGUAGCUAACUACACGUUAUAAGGUUCUAUAAUUUUUUUCACUCCCUGGAUGCAAAGUGGUGCAACAAAUUUAAUCAAACAUGGGAAAAGAAACAACUAGCGACAACAAAAAGGAAUGAUGAAUAUACAUAGGUCAACAGAGUUGGUAGGGAGAAAAGAACUAAACUCCAUUGUGGUUAUUUGACAUAAAAAGUUCCACUACACUAAACUCGAUAAGACAUGCAGCCCAGCUAAAUAUUCUGUGAUGAAAAGUGCUAGCCGCAUAUCAAUUAGAUGAUACUCCCUCCGUCCAAAAAUACUUGUCGGAGAAAUGGAUGUAUCUAGACGUAUUUUAGUUCUACAUACAUCCAUUUUUUUAUCCAUUGCUCCAACAAGUAUUUUGGGACGGAGGGAGUACCAGUUAACAACACAUGCUUUUGCACAGGCUAGUUAUUUUGCAAAAACAUAUCAUAAUAAUAUACUGGACAACAAUGAUAUUACAACACUAAGUAAGCUUGAAAACGUAUUCCUAUGUUAUCUAUGAACAGGAGCUUGGCCCCUACAUUCUGUCCUUGGUAGCCACAUGGUAAUUCUUACUAGGCCACUCGUAUUUACUUCUCCUGACCCCUCCCCCGCCUCCUUCUCAUCAUGUAACAUAAACUGACUGGACUGUUUUGACACACUAACAUAUUAAUGUAAAGUCAGUGGGAGCCUUUCCCACUGUCAUCAGUUCUGAAAAAACUGCUAUAAAAAUAAUUAUGCAAUCUAAAACUAAUGCUCAUCGUAAACAUACUCAGAACCACAUUAGCUAUAUGAACUGUACAUGUCAAAGAUGUGAAACACAUUAACAAUUGAAGUUAAUUACUCCAUUUCACAAAACAUACAGGACAAAAGUGGAGUUAUGAUCAGAACCAACGCAUUUACAUGAUGCAAAAUGCAGUACAUGUUUUAUUCUAGAACAAACAAAAUACAUUUAGAAACAUAAUGAAGGAGUAUUACGGAGAGAUUGCGAUGCAAAAAUUGAAGGAAUGUACCCAAAAUAUCCAAAGAUAUAAUUUCCUAAUAAAAAGAGGCCAUAUUUUGACUCUCCACUGUGACAUACGUGAAAAAUAUAACUAUAUUGAGCGUUUAAAUUUUAAUGACAGAAAGGUGCAUCUCCAUUGGUGGAGUCAUGCUCCCUUUCUAAAUGAGCUAUAAUUAUUAGUAAAAAAUCAGCCUCUAAGCGACAGUUAUGAUAACCUGCCAACUGGUGUCCGAGUUAUCUUAAAAACAACCCAGACUAUAUUGUAUCGCUGUUGGGACCCUAUCAUCUCUCAAUUAAGCAUCUAAAUGAACUAUUUAGUUGAGUUGUGCCGUUCCUGUAUACACAGUUUUUUGUAACAGAGUUUCUGCAGUUUAAGAAAACACAUGGUGCACAUCAUGAUAUACAACUACAAUCACAAAACCACAAACUCCUACCUACGACUGUUAUAUAGGAAAUGAACAUAAAGCUGUCAUAAAUUUCUGAAUUCAAAAUAAAAGAUGGGUAAAAACUGUAAAGCUAGGAGAGGGAGAGUGAAGGGAACUGACUAUACGCCACCUACACAUGGUGCACAUCACGGUUCUGUUUUUUUAAGAUACGCGCCUGGGGGCGGCCCUGGGGGCCGACGGCUGGGGACCGACUCGCCCCCAGUGCCGUUUUUUUCGCCGGCUCACCCCUAGGCGGCGCUUUUAGACGCCCCCUGGGGGUCCAACGGCUGGAGAUGCCCUAAGCAGCAGAGAUACUGAAAAGUGUAGUUUAUCAAGAUAACAAAGGGAAAGACAUUGUGCUUGCAUUGCGUUGACAUACUCUCGACGCAUGUAAUAUAAUUUUAAUCUGGUAUAUAUGGAUUGGAACGAUGAUUUGAACAUACUAGCAUACUGCAGACAACAUAGAUAUACGUACAUAUAUGGCUCUGUCAGAAACUGGAGCAAAAUAACACCACGCCCAAUCCUGAACUUCUGAUGGUUCUGAUAUUGAUUCUGCAUUAACUCCUCCUGCUCAAGAACCAAGUCGAUGUACAUGCAUAUCAGAAUCAUUCCAGAGUGAUUCAUGUACCUUAACAAUAAAUAAAAACUAUUGGAGCUAGAGGACAGGAGACAGAGGCCAAGGGGUUACUGGAUUUGCCGACGUCCUGCACGCGCCACUGGAUGGGGGAGAAGGGGGUUCAGCGGCGGGACAUGCUUAUGUUGUAACGGCGCUCCUCCUUAGAGGUCGACGAGGAGGAGCACCAGCGUUCGUCGGCAUCAUCGUCGAGAAGGACAAGCUCACCGUGCCCGCCCUCGUCCCGGACAGGCGACUGCAGGGUGCGCCGCGUCCAUGGAUCCUGCGGGAGGAGAUCCUCCACGCCGCCCUGCUCAAGGUGGA
rnacentral:lncRNA from 1 species